ensembl:lncRNA
UCCAUUGGGGUGCAUUGGGGUCCAUUGGGGCCCAUUGGGGUCCAUUGGGGUCCAUUGGAGUCCAUUGUGGUCCAUUGGGGUCCAUUGUGGUGCAUUGGGAUCCAUUGGAGUCCAUUGGGGUCCAUUGGGGUCCAUUGGGUUCCAUUGGGUUCCAUUGGAGUCCAUUGAAGUCCAUUGGGUUCCAUUGGAGUCCAUUGGGGUCCAUUGGGAUCCAUUGUGGUGCAUUGGGUUCCAUUGGGCUCCAUUGAGGUCCAUUGGGGUCCAUUGUGGGGCAUUGGGCUCCACGGAGGUCCAUUGGAGUCCAUUGGGUUCCAUUGGGGUCCAUUGGAGUCCAUUGGAGUCCAUUGGAGUCCAUUGGGUUCCAUUGGGGUCCAUUGGAGUCCAUUGGAGUCCAUUGGGGUCCAUUGUGGUGCAUUGGGGUCCAUUGGGGCCCAUUGGGAUCCAUUGGGGUCCAUUGGGGUCCAUUGGGUGCAUUGGGCUCCAUUGGGGUCCAUUGGAGUCCAUUGGGAUCUGUUGGGUUCCAUUGUGGUGCACCGUGGCUCAUUGUGGCUGUGUGUCUGUGUGUGUCCGUCUGUCUGUGUGUCUGUAUGUCCGUCUGUGUGUCCCUAUGUCCCUGUGUCCGUGUGUCCCUAUGUCCCUAUGUCCGUGUGUCCCUUUGUCCGUGUGUCCCUUUGUCCGUGUGUCCCUAUGUCCGUGUGUCCGUGUGUCCCUAUGUCCGUGUGUCCGUGUGUCCGUGUGUCUGUGU